rnacentral:rRNA from 1 species
UACGGGGGGAGCAAGCGUUGUUCGGAUUUACUGGGCGUAAAGGGCGCGUAGGCGGCCACCGCAAGUCGACUGUGAAAUCUCCGGGCUUAACCCGGAAAGGUCAGCCGAUACUGCGGGGCUAGAGUGCAGAAGGGGCAACUGGAAUUCUCGGUGUAGCGGUGAAAUGCGUAGAUAUCGAGAGGAACACCUGCGGCGAAGGCGGGUUGCUGGGCUGACACUGACGCUGAGGCGCGAAAGCGUGGGAGCGAACAGG